UAUGUGAUCGUCUCUCGCAUAUCAAUAAGCGGAGGAAAAGAAACUAACAAGGAUUCCCCUAGUAACGGCGAGUGAAGCGGGAAGAGCUCAAAUUUGAAAUCUUAAAGGGUUUCCCUUUACGAAUUGUAGUUUAAAGAAGUGUUUUCUGUUGAGGUUUUGGUAAAAGUUCUUUGGAAUAGGACAUCAUAGAGGGUGAGAAUCCCGUAUUUGACCUUUACUUUCAACUUUGUGAUACACUUUCAAAGAGUCGGAUUGUUUGGGAAUGCAGUCCAAAAUGGGUGGUAAAUUUCAUCUAAAGCUAAAUAUUGGCGAGAGACCGAUAGCGAACAAGUACCGUGAGGGAAAGAUGAAAAGAACUUUGAAAAGAGAGUUAAACAGUACGUGAAAUUGUCAAAAGGGAAGCGUUUGACACCAGUGUUGUUUUUCUGAAAAUCAAUUAAAGAACUGUUUAUGCUAAGUUGUUUAGACUUUAUCAGCUAACUGUUUAGUUUUGAGCUUUUCUUUAAUGCACUUUUCAGUUAACAAGUCAACAUCAAUUUCUUUUGCUGUAAAAAAGCCUGAGGAAGGUGGCUUGAGAUUCGUCUUAAGUGUUUAUAGCCUCUUGCCUAUGCAGUCGGAGAGAUUGAGGUCUGCAGCGUAGAUCCUUCGGGGCUAAAUGCAUUUGUGCUAAGUUAUAGCAUUUUAUAGACAACUUGUUGACUAUGAUUUGUCUUGUAGCUUACUCGCUUAUGUUAUUUUACCUACGCUUAGGAUGUUGACACACGCGCGUGCUCG
rnacentral:rRNA from 1 species